GAUGAACGCUGGCGGCGUGCCUAAUACAUGCAAGUCGAGCGAACAGACGAGGAGCUUGCUCCUCUGACGUUAGCGGCGGACGGGUGAGUAACACGUGGAUAACCUACCUAUAAGACUGGGAUAACUUCGGGAAACCGGAGCUAAUACCGGAUAACAUGUUGAACCGCAUGGUUCAACAGUGAAAGACGGUCUUGCUGUCACUUAUAGAUGGAUCCGCGCCGCAUUAGCUAGUUGGUAAGGUAACGGCUUACCAAGGCAACGAUGCGUAGCCGACCUGAGAGGGUGAUCGGCCACACUGGAACUGAGACACGGUCCAGACUCCUACGGGAGGCAGCAGUAGGGAAUCUUCCGCAAUGGGCGAAAGCCUGACGGAGCAACGCCGCGUGAGUGAAGAAGGUCUUCGGAUCGUAAAACUCUGUUAUUAGGGAAGAACAAAUGUGUAAGUAACUAUGCACGUCUUGACGGUACCUAAUCAGAAAGCCACGGCUAACUA
rnacentral:rRNA from 1 species